GAUCCUGGCUCAGGAUGAACGCUAGCGGCAGGCUUAACACAUGCAAGUCGAGGGGCAGCGGGGUGUAGCAAUACACUGCCGGCGACCGGCGCACGGGUGCGCAACGCGUAUGCAACCCUACCCAUAACAGGGGCAUAACACUGAGAAAUUGGUACUAAUUCCCCAUAACAUUCGAAGAGGCAUCUCUUUGGGUUGAAAACUCCGGUGGUUAUGGAUGGGCAUGCGUUGUAUUAGCUAGUUGG
rnacentral:rRNA from 1 species